rnacentral:rRNA from 1 species
AGAGUGAACGCUGGCGGUAGGCCUAACACAUGCAAGUCGAACGGCAGCACAGUAGGAGCUUGCUCUUACGGGUGGCGAGUGGCGGACGGGUGAGGAAUACAUCGGAACCUACCGUUUUGGUGGGGGAUAACGUAGGGAAACUUACGCUAAUACCGCAUACGCCCUUCGGGGGAAAGCCGGGGACCAGCAAUGGCCUGGCGCUGAUAGAUGAGCCGAUGUCGGAUUAGCUAGUUGGUGAGGUAAUGGCUCACCAAGGCGACGAUCCGUAGCUGGUCUGAGAGGAUGAUCAGCCACACUGGAACUGAGACACGGUCAGACUCCUAGGGAGCAGCAGUGGGAAUAGUGGACAAGUGGGCGCAAGCCUGACUCCAGCCAUACCGCGUGGU